rnacentral:rRNA from 1 species
UACGUAGGCAGCAAGCGUUGUUCGGGGUUACUGGGCGUAAAGGGUGUGUAGGCGGUUGUUUAAGUUUGGUGUGAAAUCUCCCGGCUCAACUGGGAGGGUGCGCCGAAUACUGAAUGACUAGAGUGCGGGAGAGGAAAGUGGAAUUCCUGGUGUAGCGGUGAAAUGCGUAGAUAUUGGGAGGAACACCAGUGGCGAAGGCGGCUCACUGGACCGGAACUGACGCUGAGGCGCGAAAGCGUGGGGAGCAAACGGG